UCUGGUCCCCGGUGUGCUUUCUCUUCAGCCCUCAGCCUGGGAAAGGAGACAAAGAGAACCAGGCCUGGUGCUGUGAAGCUGCUAGCAACGGGGACAGCUGGGAGGCCCCUGUGGCAAGCUGCUGUCUCCAGGACACCCCCAAAGAAAGAAGACCUUCCAAGAAAAUGAAAGAGUCAGCUGUGAAGGCGUACAACUGAAAUCCCAGCAUUCAUGAGGCUGAGACAGGAGGGUUCACUGCAAGUUCAAGGCCAGCCUGAACUGCAUAGCAAGAUCUUACCUCAAC
rnacentral:lncRNA from 1 species